ACAAAACUACGGGCACUUGUAAAAGAAAAUAAGUAAACAAACAAACGCUCCCAGGAAGCAAGGAAAUGGAACCAGUGCCAUUUGGAGUAGGCUCCAGUAUCUGCAGUCAAGAGUGAUCCGGAAAACCACAGCGGUGUGUGUGACGUCAUGAGGACAGCAGCAGCCAAUUAGAUAUGUAAUCAGCAUGUCUCUUCCUUGAGCUACUGUCUAAUGUCAACUAUGAAGUUUCGUCGCCCAGGGGCACUUGGGUCAUGUUAUUUCAGGGUCAUGGUGAGAAGACUGCUGAUGCGGCCCUCCCUCGAUCGUCCUGCCUGUAUAACACAGUGGCUCUUUGAGUAGGACCGGGAUGGUCAAAUGAAAUACAAGGACAAGAGUUCUGAGGUCUGCCUUCAGAACCAGGAGCAAUCGCCACUUCCCAUUGUUGGUGACCUCUGUGAAGGGUGGAAGAGUCUGAUCAUGAGCCAAUCUGGAAUGACCUGUGUGGACUGAUAACGGAGAAUCUCAAAAAUGGCAGAACAUGAGCCUCAGGGACCAGGUCUCA
rnacentral:lncRNA from 1 species